GGGACCGUGGGGUAGCUUGGUAUCCUUCAGCGUUUGGGACGCUGUAACCCCGAUUCAAAUUCGGGCGGUCCCA
rnacentral:tRNA from 6 species